rnacentral:rRNA from 1 species
UACAGAGGUGGCAAGCGUUGUUCGGAUUCACUGGGCGUAAAGGGUGCGUAGGUGGUCGAGUAAGUCUGAUGUGAAAUCUUCGAGCUCAACCCGAAAAUGGCAUUGGAUACUAUUCGGCUGGAGGGUUGGAAGGGGGACUGGAAUUCUCGGUGUAGCAGUGAAAUGCGUAGAUAUCGAGAGGAACACCGGUGGCGAAGGCGAGUCCCUGGACAAUCCCUGACACUGAGGCACGAAAGCUAGGGGAGCAAACAGG